UGCCUCGUAGUGUAACGGCUGCACAUCUGGUUUUGGCCCAGAGAGUUUAGGUUCAAAUCCUGACGAGGCAGCCA
rnacentral:tRNA from 1 species